UACGAAGGUGGCAAGCGUUGUUCGGAUUUACUGGGCGUACAGGGUGCGUAGGCGGUUCGGUAAGCCCUUCGUGAGAUCUCCAGGCUCAACCUGGAAAGUUCGGAGGGGACUGCCGGGCUAGAGGAUGGGAGAGGAGCGCGGAAUUCCCGGUGUAGCGGUGAAAUGCGUAGAGAUCGGGAGGAAGGCCGGUGGCGAAGGCGGCGCUCUGGAACAUUCCUGACGCUGAGGCACGAAAGCGUGGGGAGCAAACAGGAUUAGAAACCCCUGUAGU
rnacentral:rRNA from 1 species